ensembl:snRNA U6 U6 spliceosomal RNA
GUGCUUGCUUUGGCAGCACAUAUACUAAAAUUGGAACGAUACAGAGAAGAUUAGCAUGGCCCCCAAGCAGGGAUGACAUGCAAAUUCAUGAAGCAUUCCAUAUUUUU